AAAAUUACCUUAGAAUCGAUAUUUUUCUCAUUCACGUUUUUUCACAAAUUUUUGACCAAAAAAGUGUAAAAUCGACUCCUCAAAUCUUACAAAGAUUCUUCGUUGCUAAACAUGAAACUUUCAACUGUAUUUUUGGGGGUUGUUUUGUCGUUGGUCCUGGUGUUGGUAAAUGUUGCCGAGGGAACUGGAUCUCGCCUACUUAGACUUGGACGCAACCGUAGUAAUGCAGACGAAGACAGGAAUGAACCGCAAACAACAGGCAGUUUUCAUCGUGGUCGAUCUAGUAGACAAUCGGGUGGUAAGUAGUGUGAGCAAAAUACUAUUUUUUAGAUUCAGACAGGAUUUAAGAUGUCUGUUUUUAAUUUUCUUAAAACUUUAUAAUAUGUGUCUUUCUUGAUAUGCAAAGGGAGUAGUACUGGUAGAUA